UUAGAAUUGGUCAAGAGGUAAGACACAACCCUUCCAAGGUUGCUACGUCGGUUCGAAUCCGACAUUCUAAA
rnacentral:tRNA from 1 species